rnacentral:misc_RNA from 1 species
GGAGGGAUCAUUACCGAGUUUACAACUCCCAAACCCCUGUGAACAUACCUAUAACGUUGCCUCGGCGGCUACCCGCUCCCCGUAAGACGGGACGGUCCGCCAGAGGACCCAACAAACCCUGUAAUUUUCAGUAUCUUCUGAGUAAAAACACAAUCAAUUAAAACUUUCAACAACGGAUCUCUUGGUUCUGGCAUCGAUGAAGAACGCAGCGAAAUGCGAUAAGUAAUGUGAAUUGCAGAAUUCAGUGAAUCAUCGAAUCUUUGAACGCACAUUGCGCCCGCCAGUACUCUGGCGGGCAUGCCUGUUCGAGCGUCAUUUCAUCCCUCAAGCCCCAGCGGUUUGGUGUUGGGCUUCGGCCGUCCCUCAGCGGCGGCCGUGCCUCAAAUACAGUGGCGGUCUCGCCCCCGGCUCCUCUGCGUAGUAGUAACAUCUCGCACUGGGACGGAGCGUAGGCCACGCCGUAAAACAACCCAAUUUCUGAAUGUUGACCUCGGAUCAGGUAGGAAUACCCGCUGAACUUAAGCAUAUCAAUAAGCGGAGGAAAAGAAACCAACAGGGAUUGCCCUAGUAACGGCGAGUGAAGCGGCAACAGCUCAAAUUUGAAAUCUGGCUCUCGGGCCCGAGUUGUAAUUUGUAGAGGAUGCUUUUGGCAAGGUGCCUUCCGAGUUCCCUGGAACGGGACGCCAUAGAGGGUGAGAGCCCCGUCUGGUUGGACACCGAGCCUCUGUAAAGCUCCUUCGACGAGUCGAGUAGUUUGGGAAUGCUGCUCUAAAUGGGAGGUAUAUGUCUUCUAAAGCUAAAUACUGGCCAGAGACCGAUAGCGCACAAGUAGAGUGAUCGAAAGAUGAAAAGCACUUUGAAAAGAGAGUUAAAAAGCACGUGAAAUUGUUGAAAGGGAAGCGCUCAUGACCAGACUUGGGCUUGGUUGAUCAUCCGGCGUUCUCGCCGGUGCACUCUUCCAGUUCAGGCCAGCAUCAGUUUGCCUCGGGGGAUAAAAGUAGCGGGAAUGUGGCUCCUCCGGGAGUGUUAUAGCCCGCUACAUAAUACCCUGUGGCAGACUGAGGACCGCGCUUCGUGCAAGGAUGCUGGCGUAAUGGUCAUCAGCGACCCGUCUUGAAACACGGACCAAGGAGUCGUCUUCGUAUGCGAGUGUUCGGGUGUCAAACCCCUACGCGUAAUGAAAGUGAACGCAGGUGAGAGCUUCGGCGCAUCAUCGACCGAUCCUGAUGUUCUCGGAUGGAUUUGAGUAAGAGCAUACGGGGCCGGACCCGAAAGAAGGUGAACUAUGCCUGUGUAGGGUGAAGCCAGAGGAAACUCUGGUGGAGGCUCGCAGCGGUUCUGACGUGCAAAUCGAUCGUCAAACAUGGGCAUGGGGGCGAAAGACUAAUCGAACCUUCUAGUAGCUGGUUUCCGC